AACUGACUCGGCACUCAGAUGCGUGAGCCCAUAGGAGGAGUUCAAAGCUGUGGGGGGAGCGCUGUCUGGCCACCUGUGCAAUCAAGCGUCCGAGGCAGGACCAAGCAGCAGGAGCAGCUACUGUAAAGCCCUGGCCAAUGUAAGGGUCCAGCUGAUUCCAUCAAAUAUUGUUAACAACUCAGCACUUUAGAACCAAUCUACUGCAAUCAGCAAAACAAAAGACAAGCAACCAAUCAAAUACAAUUUAAAGCAUAUAAACUCUUAGCCAUAGGAAGUGCAGAAUGUUCCCAUUUUAAAAUGCACUCGGUUCAAACCUAUACAAUUUGAAGAAGUACCUCUCCCCCCUCCAGCAGCAGUUCACUUCAGAAAGAGGCAUGCAAGGUACGGCAGAUUGAAAAGAUUUCAUCACCUACAAGACAUUCUGCAAAGGAUGAUGCAGUCACAGUGGCAGAGGCAGAAGCAAUGACAAAUCCAUUCCCUGCUGACCAUAGUAUGGCAGUGCCUGCUUUAGAACAAUCCUCUAUGCAACUUUCUCAUGAGCAGCACUUACCUACAGGCCAGGUUACACCAAGUGUAAUCAAUACACCACUGUGUCAGGGAAGUGGGCCUCUCCAUUUAAAUAUUUAAUCAGAACGCCUUCCUAACCUAUCAGAAUGUUUGAAUGCUAGACUUCAUUGUCUGACAUACUGUCUGGACAGUGAGAAGAAACACAGCUGAAAUAGUACUGCAAAAACUGCAUGCACUUGGACCACCUUGCUCCAAGCUUUAUUGACUUAUUCAUGUGCAAUUCAUUUUAAUAAAUUAAGAGUUUGUGAACAAGAGAAGCCAAAUAUAUACUGGUGAAAAUGACCAUGCACAUAUGUGGUCAAACUUCCUUUGAUAUCACUCCACUGACCUCAGUGGCAUUACACAAGGGACCACUAGUUUAACAGCUGCCAUGCUGAAUUUAGAUUUAAAUAUGUAUGGUUUAAAAUCCCCAUGUGAUCUCUCUUUUGGUUCUUCUUUCAUCAUCCCUUCCAUAUGCC